AGCUUCGAGCCGAGGUGCAGUGAGCUGGUGGGGGGACCGCGAGGCGAGCGCGGAAGCCUGGGCGGCGAGCCGGGUGUGAGCUGCCUGAAAAUGCACUCGGAUGCCGCCGCUGUCAAUUUUCAGCUGAACUCUCAUCUCUCAACACUGGCAAAUAUUCAUAAGAUCUACCACACCCUUAAUAAGCUGAACCUAACAGAAGACAUUGGCCAAGACGAUCACCAAACAGGAAGUCUGCGGUCUUGCAGUUCUUCAGACUGCUUUAAUAAAGUGAUGCCACCAAGGAAAAAGAGAAGACCUGCCUCUGGAGAUGAUUUAUCUGCCAAGAAAAGUAGACAUGAUAGGUCUCACUCAUUCACUUCAACCACAGAGCUGGAGAGAUCUUCCUGUACUUAAUGGUCUGUGCCUGCCCAGAGUAUCAGCCAAGCUGAGGUUUAUUCUCACAUGGGUGAGAAUUCGAUAGAACUGUGAAAAACAAGGCUCUUUAAAUCGCUUCUCUUUCAGAUAAGUGAACUUGUUAAUUUUGGUAACUCCAAGGGCCUGUUAGAUUCGUUUAUUUCAAACAUCUUUAUUGUUUCACCCUGAGUUUAGUAAGUAGUUUUUUCUUCCUUGUUUUAGAAACAACGAACGAACAUCAUUGUCUAGUCUUUUCUACCUUUCUCCAUCUUUCCCCAUUCUGGCUUUGUGGGUCAUACCACUAAUGGGCCGGAAUUUCCACAUGUAUUAAUCCAGGGAAUUUAAGUGAGAUUUUUCUGUUUCUUUCUUGCUGUGACUCAGAGGAAUAAGAAAGACUCUGAAAAUGUAAAAAUAAUGUCAUUGUUUAUAUCUCAAAUGAAUAGAAAAUAUUAUCUGAAAGAAGAUAGUAGUGAUUUAGAAAAUAAUCACCAGCAAUCUUUAGGCCAGUGAUUUUUCAACUUUACAAAGGCAGGCUACUUUGAUACUUUUUUGGUGG
rnacentral:sRNA from 1 species